UACAGGGGGUGCAAACGUUGCUCGGAAUUAUUGGGCGUAAAGCGCGCGUAGGCGGCUACUUAAGUCGGAUGUGAAAGCCCCUGGCUCAACCGGGAAGUGCACCCGAAACUGAGUAGCUAGAGUACGAAAGAGGGUCGCGGAAUUCCCGGUGUAGAGGUGAAAUUCGUAGAUAUCGGGAGGAACACCGGUGGCGAAGGCGGCGACCUGGGUCGAUACUGACGCUGAGGCGCGAAAGCGUGGGGAGCAACAGG
rnacentral:rRNA from 1 species